rnacentral:rRNA from 1 species
CCUACGCGAGGCAGCAGUGAGGAAUAUUGGUCAAUGGACGAGAGUCUGAACCAGCCAAGUAGCGUGAAGGAUGACUGCCCUAUGGGUUGUAAACUUCUUUUAUAUGGGAAUAAAAUGUUCCACGUGUGGGUUUUUGUAUGUACAAUAUGAAUAAGGAUAGGCUAACUCCGUGCCAGCAGCCGCGGUAAUACGGAGGAUCCGAGCGUUAUCCGGAUUUAUUGGGUUUAAAGGGAGCGUAGGAGGUUUGUUAAGUCAGUUGUGAAAGUUUGCGGCUCAACCGUAAAAUUGCAGUUGAUACUGGCAGUCUUGAGUACAGUAGAGGUGGGCGGAAUUCGUGGUGUAGCGGUGAAAUGCUUAGAUAUCACGAAGAACUCCGAUUGCGAAGGCAGCUCACUGGACUGCAACUGACACUGAGGCUCGAAAGUGUGGGUAUCAAACAGGAUUAGAUACCCGGGUAGUC